UGCAGUCGAGCGGAUGAAGGGAGCUUGCUCCUGGAUUCAGCGGCGGACGGGUGAGUAAUGCCUAGGAAUCUGCCUGGUAGUGGGGGAUAACGUCCGGAAACGGGCGCUAAUACCGCAUACGUCCUGAGGGAGAAAGUGGGGGAUCUUCGGACCUCACGCUAUCAGAUGAGCCUAGGUCGGAUUAGCUAGUUGGUGGGGUAAAGGCCUACCAAGGCGACGAUCCGUAACUGGUCUGAGAGGAUGAUCAGUCACACUGGAACUGAGACACGGUCCAGACUCCUACGGGAGGCAGCAGUGGGGAAUAUUGGACAAUGGGCGAAAGCCUGAUCCAGCCAUGCCGCGUGUGUGAAGAAGGUCUUCGGAUUGUAAAGCACUUUAAGUUGGGAGGAAGGGCAGUAAGUUAAUACCUUGCUGUUUUGACGUUACCAACAGAAUAAGCACCGGCUAACUUCGUGCCAGCAGCCGCGGUAAUACGAAGGGUGCAAGCGUUAAUCGGAAUUACUGGGCGUAAAGCGCGCGUAGGUGGUUCAGCAAGUUGGAUGUGAAAUCCCCGGGCUCAACCUGGGAACUGCAUCCAAAACUACUGAGCUAGAGUACGGUAGAGGGUGGUGGAAUUUCCUGUGUAGCG
rnacentral:rRNA from 2 species